rnacentral:rRNA from 1 species
UACGGAAGGCAGCAGUGGGGAAUAUUGCACAAUGGGCGCAAGCCUGAUGCAGCCAUGCCGCGUGUAUGAAGAAGGCCUUCGGGUUGUAAAGUACUUUCAGCGGGGAGGAAGGCGAUGCGGUUAAUAACCGCGUCGAUUGACGUUACCCGCAGAAGAAGCACCGGCUAACUCCGUGCCAGCAGCCGCGGUAAUACGGAGGGUGCAAGCGUUAAUCGGAAUUACUGGGCGUAAAGCGCACGCAGGCGGUCUGUUAAGUCAGAUGUGAAAUCCCCGGGCUUAACCUGGGAACUGCAUUUGAAACUGGCAGGCUUGAGUCUUGUAGAGGGGGUAGAAUUCCAGGUGUAGCGGUGAAUGCGUAGAGAUCUGGAGGAAUACCGGUGGCGAAGGCGGCCCCUGGGACAAAGACUGACGCUCAGGUGCGAAAGCGUGGGGAGCAAACGAGGAUUAGAUACC